GUGCAAAGGUAGCAUAAUCAUUUGACUUUUAAAUGGAGCCUAGAAUGAAAGAAAGAACGUAACAACUUGUCUCAUUAAUAUUACUAUUAAAUUGUUGUAUGAGUGAAAAUACUCAUAAAUUUAAAAAUAGACGAGAAGACCCUUAGAAUUUUAAAAAUAUUGCGAGUUAAGCUCUUGUAAAAUUUUUUGUUGGGGCAACAAUAUUUCAUGAAAUAAAUAUGUUAUUGAGAGAUAUAUCGAUUUAAUAAUAAUAAUAAAAUUACCUAAGGGAUAACAGCAUAAUU
rnacentral:rRNA from 1 species